rnacentral:lncRNA from 1 species
CGUUCACUCAUACAUGCUGCUUCUACUCUGGAAGUACGCAUCCACAUACAUCCACUCAUUUCCAUCUCCAGAUUCACCCAAAAUUAUUCUACUCCUAUCCAGGAGAGAAUAGGCAAAAAUAUUAUCCAAUCCCUGUUAUUCCCCGUGAAAUAAAUGCUCGAGAUAUUUUGGUUACUACCACUUGCUACAUUAUUCCAAGAGGGUGAGUGUUCUGAAAAAAAGAAGUGAAUACGAGGAAAUAAAAAGGGGCAAGUGCCCGGAACCUCGAAGAAAAGAAAAAGUGAGACGAGAGGUAAAAAUGGACAAGUGUCCGACAGUAGAAUUAGGGGUACAAGAUACCCACCUGAGAGAAAAGAAAAAGAAAAUAUAGAGCAUCUCAUUCCCCUCAAAAAGCUUCAAAGUGCAAGAAAGGUAUGUAUCCCCUCAAAAGAGCAAACGUAGAAUUAGACUUUCACCAUUGUUUUCACCAUUAUCAACAUCAUCACCAUACACCAUUCAUUCACCACACAUGCACAUCUUGAUUUGACUUAUUGACUUGUUUCUCUGGAUCCAUGGUUUGACUAUGCAAUAAAUGUCUUGUAAGUAUGUAUUAGCUGUCUCCCACCUAUGAGCUCUAGAUAUCAAAACCUUAUUAGAGUAGGGUGAGAGAGAAGGCAAUGUCACUAUGCCUCAU